rnacentral:rRNA from 1 species
UACGUAGGGUGCAAGCGUUGUCCGGAAUUAUUGGGCGUAAAGAGCUCGUAGGCGGUCUGUCGCGUCUGCUGUGAAAACUCAGGGCUUAACCCUGAGCUUGCAGUGGGUACGGGCAGACUAGAGUUCGGUAGGGGAGACUGGAAUUCCUGGUGUAGCGGUGAAAUGCGCAGAUAUCAGGAGGAACACCGGUGGCGAAGGCGGGUCUCUGGGCCGAAACUGACGCUGAGGAGCGAAAGCGUGGGGAGCAAACAG